AAUAAGCUUUCCGUGUAACAUUUGGCUGUCCAUAUUAUAUAAAUUUUUUUUAUAAUUAAUAUUUUUAUUGUUGUUAGAAGAUAAAGCAUAAUUAAUACUUUAUGCGUGACUUGUCUUUUUAAUUUUUUUCAUAAUUUUUUUCAAAUAAGACGGACGGUUAAACGUUGGACACGGAAAUCCAGGGUUUGUCUUUUU
rfam:Oryza glumipatula chromosome 3, whole genome shotgun sequence.